AUUAAGUUAAAUUCAUUUAAAUUCAAUGAAUAAUAAAGUAUAUUCAUGGCCUUAGCAUUCAAAUAGAUCAUUUCUUUAUUAUCAAUAAAUGUAUUGAGUGCAUGUGGGCCAUUGACUAUAAUUUUUCAUAAAUUAUAAUCAUGUGCUUGCAUAAAAAUUUUCAUCUUAGCUUUCCAAUCGAUGUAAUUUGAUCUAUUAAAUAGUGGGGGUCUAUCUAUAGAAUGGCCUUCAUUAAAAAAGAAUUUCAUUUGGGUUGCCAUGAUUUUUGGAUCUAGACUAUUAGGUCAACAACAAAUAACAGAGCACUUGCUCCGAUACCACUUGUUGCCUAGAAAGAUAGUAAUCCAAGAGGAGAGUGAAUUGGAUUCUUUAAAAAUUUUAACUAAAUCAAUAAUUUAAAUAAUGAUGUGCUCCAAUUUAAGCUAUCUUAAGUGAUUAUAGGAUGUAUGCAAUUAUGUUGCAGCGAAAUUGAAAUAAUAAAAGCAAGUAAGAAUAUAAAGUAAGAAUUAAAAGCAAGACAAGUAUGAAAGGGCAAAACUCAAAUAUAUAAAAAUUUAUAAUGGUUCGGUGUAAUUCCGCACCUACAUCCACUUUCUAAGAGCCUUUUAGAAAUUUCACUAUAAUCCUCUUGAUUACAGUGUGUUUGUUUUAUCCGAACUUACAAACAAACUCAAUUAAUUUUUUAGGAUCACUAAUCAAAACUUUACACUGAUUGUUUUUCGGGCUCAUAAUCAAUUCAAUUGAUUUUAUGGGCUCACAAACUAAAACCUACAUUUAUCUAAUUUCGAACUUAGACGGGCCUAAACCUCAAGGUUUUCCUCCAAAGAAACUUGUAAAAAAAAUAAAU
rnacentral:lncRNA from 1 species